rnacentral:rRNA from 1 species
CCUACGGGUGGCAGCAGUAGGGAAUCUUGCACAAUGGGCGCAAGCCUGAUGGAGCAACACCGCGUGAGUGAAGAAGGGUUUCGGCUCGUAAAGCUCUGUUGUAGGAGAAGAACGUGCGUGAGAGUAACUGUUCACGCAGUGACGGUAUCCAACCAGAAAGUCACGGCUAACUACGUGCCAGCAGCGGCGGGAAUACGUAGGGGGCAAGCGUUAUCCGGAUUUAUUGGGCGUAAGGCGAGCGCAGGCGGUUGGUUAGGUCUGAUGUGAAAGCCGUCGGCUUAACCGUAGAAGUGCAUCGGAAACCGGGCGACUUGAGUGCAGGAGAGGACAGUGGAACUCCUUGUGUAGCGGUGGAAUGCGUAGAUAUAUGGAAGAACACCAGUGGCGAAGGCGGCUGUCUGGUCUGCAACUGACGCUGAGGCUCGAAAGCGUGGGUAGCGAACAGGAUUAGAUACCCGAGUAGUC